GAUGAACGCUAGCGGCAGGCCUAACACAUGCAAGUCGAGGGGUAACAGGAGAGCUUGCUCUCGCUGACGACCGGCGCACGGGUGCGUAACGCGUAUACCAAUUUACCUUAUACUGGAGGAUAGCCCGGAGAAAUCCGGAUUAAUACUCCAUAACAUUACAGAAUCGCAUGAUUCCAUAAUUAAAGUUUCGGCGGUAUAAGAUGAGUAUGCGUCCUAUUAGUUAGUUGGUAAGGUAACGGCUUACCAAGACAGCGAUAGGUAGGGGGCCUGAGAGGGUUAUCCCCCACACUGGUACUGAGACACGGACCAGACUCCUACGGGAGGCAGCAGUGAGGAAUAUUGGACAAUGGAGGCAACUCUGAUCCAGCCAUGCCGCGUGAAGGAAGAAUGUCCUACGGAUUGUAAACUUCUUUUAUUUGGGAAGAAACUUCUCUACGUGUAGAGAACUGACGGUACCAAACGAAUAAGGACCGGCUAACUCCGUG
rnacentral:rRNA from 1 species